rnacentral:sRNA from 1 species
UGCAAACCACAAUUCCGGUUUUGUCGGG